rnacentral:rRNA from 1 species
UACGGGGGGGGCAAGCGUUGUUCGGAAUCAUUGGGCGUAAAGGGCGCGUAGGCGGCCGACCAAGUCGGGUGUGAAAUCCCUCGGCUCAACCGAGGAACUGCAUUCGAUACUGGUUGGCUAGAGUCCGGGAGGGGAUGGUGGAAUUCCCAGUGUAGCGGUGAAAUGCGUAGAUAUUGGGAAGAACACCGGUGGCGAAGGCGGCCAUCUGGACCGGCACUGACGCUGAGGCGCGAAAGCCAGGGGAGCGAAUGGG